AGCGAACGCUGGCGGCAGGCCUAACACAUGCAAGUCGAACGCUCGUAGCAAUACGAGAGUGGCAGACGGGUGAGUAACGCGUGGGAACGUGCCCUUCGGUUCGGAAUAACCCGGGGAAACUCGGGCUAAUACCGAAUACGUCCGUAAGGAGAAAGAUUUAUCGCCGAAGGAUCGGCCCGCGUCGGAUUAGCUAGUUGGUGAGGUAAUGGCUCACCAAGGCGAUGAUCCGUAGCUGGUCUGAGAGGACGAUCAGCCACACUGGGACUGAGACACGGCCCAGACUCCUACGGGAGGCAGCAGUGGGGAAUAUUGGACAAUGGGCGCAAGCCUGAUCCAGCCAUGCCGCGUGAGUGAUGAAGGCCUUAGGGUUGUAAAGCUCUUUUAGCGGGGACGAUAAUGACGGUACCCGCAGAAAAAGCCCCGGCUAACUUCGUGCCAGCAGCCGCGGUAAUACGAAGGGGGCUAGCGUUGCUCGGAAUCACUGGGCGUAAAGCGCACGUAGGUGG
rnacentral:rRNA from 1 species